AAGCAACUGCUUAAAACUCAAAGGACUUGGCGGUGCUUUAUACCCUUCUAGAGGAGCCUGUUCUAUAAUCGAUAAACCCCGAUAGACCUCACCAGUCCUUGCUAAUACAGUCUAUAUACCGCCAUCUUCAGCAAACCCUAAAAAGGAAUAAAAGUAAGCACAAUCACAUUACAUAAAAACGUUAGGUCAAGGUGUAACCUAUGGAGUGGGAAGAAAUGGGCUACAUUUUCUAUUUCAAGAA
rnacentral:rRNA from 1 species